AAUCAAAUUAAUUAUUGUGUGAUUGAGGGGAGUGGGGAAAUUUAUAUCACGGGAUCUCUUUUUUCUCUCUCAAUCUCUCUAUAAAUAGCUCAGUCAUUUGUUUGUAUUUUCCCGCAGAUUUAUCACAUCGACAAAGCAUCAAGUUAGUGCCUAUUGGUGUAUCAGAGGAUGGACAAUUAUACUAGUCGCAUCCUUGUACUAACUCUGAUGUCUAUGCAUCUCGUAUGCUCUGCUACUCUUGCACAAGGCCGUAUCAUCAUAGCUAACAUGGAUAACCAAAAGAUCAAUCUUCCAGGUGGGCUGUGCAGACAUUAUGUUCACGAGUGCAAGGACGGACUUUGCGAUUGUUGUCUUGUAAAUAAUCUUUGCUACCUGUCUGUGGACAUCUGCAACAAAAAUUGUGUCUCUACUUCAGACAUGGUGGCGACAACGAUCCCUCAUUCUUUACCUACUCCUUUCCCUGUCUAGUCAAAUUGGCAUAACGCCUGAUGUGCGGAAUAAGCAAGAAUAAUUCUCUUU